UGGGGAAUUUUGCGCAAUGGGGGCAACCCUGACGCAGCAACGCCGCGUGCGGGACGACGGCCUUCGGGUUGUAAACCGCUUUCAGCAGGGAAGAAAUUCGACGGUACCUGCAGAAGAAGCUCCGGCUAACUACGUGCCAGCAGCCGCGGUAAUACGUAGGGAGCGAGCGUUAUCCGGAUUCAUUGGGCGUAAAGAGCGCGUAGGCGGCCUCUCAAGCGGGAUCUCUAAUCCGAGGGCUCAACCCCCGGCCGGAUCCCGAACUGGGAGGCUCGAGUUCGGUAGAGGCAGGCGGAAUUCCCGGUGCAGCGGUGGAAUGCGCAGAUAUCGGGAAGAACACCGAUGGCGAAGGCAGCCUGCUGGGCCGCAACUGACGCUGAGGCGCGAAAGCUAGGGGAGCGAACAGG
rnacentral:rRNA from 1 species